rnacentral:rRNA from 1 species
GGGAGGUAGUGACAAUAAAUAACAAUACAGGGUUCUUUGAAUCUUGUAAUUGGAAUGAGUACAAUUUAAAUCUCUUAACGAGGAACAAUUGGAGGGCAAGUCUGGUGCCAGCAGCCGCGGUAAUUCCAGCUCCAAUAGCGUAUAUUAAAGUUGUUGCAGUUAAAAAGCUCGUAGUUGAAUUUCGGAAUCAGUGCGUUGGUCGUGCCUCUGGUAUGCACUGGUGUUACUGAUUUCUCCCUUCUGAAGAACUAUCAUGCCAUUAAUUUGGUGUGGUAGGGAAUCAGGACUGUUACUUUGAAAAAAUUAGAGUGUUUAAAGCAGGCUCACGCUUGAAUACAUUAGCAUGGAAUAAUGAAAUAGGACGUUGAUCUUAUUUUGUUGGUUUCUAGGAUUGACGUAAUGAUUAAUAGGGAUAGUUGGG